rnacentral:rRNA from 1 species
UACGUAGGGGGCAAGCGUUAUCCGGAUUUACUGGGUGUAAAGGGGGCGCAAACGGCGAUGCAAGCCAGGAGUGAAAGCCCGGGGCCCAACCCCGGGACUGCUCUUGGAACUGCGUAGCUGGAGUGCAGGAGGGGCAGGCGGAAUUCCUGGUGUAGCGGUGAAAUGCGUAGAUAUCAGGAGGAACACCGGUGGCGAAGGCGGCCUGCUGGACUGCAACUGACGUUGAGGCCCGAAAGCGUGGGGAGCAAACAGG